CAGACACACAGGCCAACAUGGGCCUGAAACCAUGUUUUGCAGCUGAGCUUGUCCCCUCUGUUCUUCCCAUGCUCCCAGGACUUGCAAGAUGCAGUGAGGAAAGUUGCCAGCAUGUAAGACUCUGCAGGAGCAGCUUCAGUGGCGGGAGCUACUCUUGCCCCCUCAGGUGCAAAAAGGAGGUAGGAAUGGCUAUUUGCAUCAGCCCAUCCAAGUGCAUGCUGAGCCAAAUAUCAACAGUACUCUGAGGCACCAGGAUUGUUUAUUGUUGAAGAUGAAGGAUCCUAGACAGAGACAAUAGAGGAUCAUAUGCCACAACUAAACAGGCACAGACAGGAGUUUUCAAGCAAUCUGGCCCUUGAAAGUGCGAAGCAGCUAGUAUUCACUUUGGAUUUGGAUUUGGCCGACUCAAGGGACAGGCAACACCUGGUGCCAAAUAAUUAAAAUGAGCUUCAGAUAGCUCCUGGGCUGUCUGCCGACUGCUUCACAGAAGUGCCAUUGCCUGAAGCAUCACCUUCAAUUUCAGAAUCGGAGCAAACUCUGGUCCAGAAAGAGUCUGCUGAUUCAGCUGGCUCCAAGUAACUUGGCAAAGGUUUCUGAAUUGUUAUAUCCAGGUCUAGAUCAAGGGAAGAGCCUCUUGAUGUCCAGUGCUACCCUCUCAAAGAACACUCGGCAUCGGGAGUAAUGGGACUUGCUGAGCUCUGUGGCCCAAUGAAGUCCUGUCAUGGGAACAUAUGACUCCAGGGACUCUGCAUCAUGGUUCUCCACCAGGUGUUUCUCCUCAAUGAUCCCAGCUCAGCCUCCCUGUACAGCCUGAACCUGCUGAGUUCCAGGAUCCAGCCUGAUAAUUAACCUACACAGGUGAACUCUCUGCAGAUGGAACAGGUGGUCUAAUAAGAGGUAUCAUUUUGGAAACAAGAGUUCUAGUUUUUUGUAUGUCUUUUUGUCUCAGACCAUCACGGCUAGCAAGUACACCCCUGAAACCUGGAAGAUGCCGAAUUUUAGCUGAUUUUGGAUUUUAAACUUCACUGCAGAACAAGAAGGAAUUUUUUUUUUACCUCCCUGCCUGCCACCUGCCACCUCCAGGGAAGGAAUUCUACUAGAUCAACACAUCAAAGACGUACUCAACACAGCUCACAAAGACACUCUCAUGGACCCAGAGGGACAGACUUCCAUCUUCAGCUCCCUCUACGCAAAAAUGAAGUUUAUUUCCUACCUAUGGGGACUUUUAACCAUGUUGUACCAUCUAUACUUUUCCCAGAGUCUGACAAAGGGAAUUUGACCCCAAAAGCUUGCAGAAAAGGACAGUUUUCUUGCCAUUUUCCAGUUGGUCUAAUAAAAGGUAACAUUUUGCAACCAA